rnacentral:rRNA from 1 species
UACGUAGGGGGCGAGCGUUGUCCGGAGUUACUGGGCGUAAAGCGCACGCAGGCGGUCUGCUAAGUUUGGAGUGACAGUUGGUGGCUUAACUGCCAAAGUGCUUCGAAAACUGACAGACUUGAGGGCUUCAGAGGGACACGGAAUUCCGGGUGGAGUGGUGAAAUGCGUAGAGAUCCGGAGGAACACCAAAGGCGAAGGCACUCUGCUGGGCCGACACUGACACUGAGAGACGAAAGCUAGGGGAGCGAAUGGG